UACGAAGGGGGCUAGCGUUGCUCGGAAUCACUGGGCGUAAAGGGUGCGUAGGCGGCUUCUUAAGUCGGUGGUGAAAUCCUGGAGCUCAACUCCAGAACUGCCUUCGAUACUGGGAAGCUCGAGUCCGGGAGAGGUGAGUGGAACUGCGGGUGUAGAGGUGAAAUUCGUAGAUAUUCGCAAGAACACCAGUGGCGAAGGCGGCUCACUGGCCCGAUACU
rnacentral:rRNA from 1 species